GAUGAACGCUGGCGGCGUGCUUAACACAUGCAAGUCGAACGAGAAAUGGAGACGGAAACCUUCGGGCGGAAGGCUUCAUUUCGAGUGGCGGACGGGUGAGUAACGCGUGGGUAUCCUGCCUCAUACAGGGGGAUAACAGUUGGAAACGACUGUUAAUACCGCAUAAGACCACAGCACCGCAUGGUGCGGGGGUAAAAACUCCGGUGGUAUGAGAUGGACCCGCGUUCGAUUAGCCAGUUGGCGGGGUAACGGCCCACCAAAGCGACGAUCGAUAGCCGAUCUGAGAGGAUGACCGGCCACAGUGGGACUGAGACACGGCCCAAACUCCUACGGGAGGCAGCAGUGGGGAAUAUUGCACAAUGGGGGAAACCCUGAUGCAGCGACGCCGCGUGAGUGAAGAAGUACUUCGGUAUGUAAAGCUCUAUCAGCAGGGAAGAAAAUGACGGUACCUGAGUAAGAAGCCCCGGCUAACUACGUG
rnacentral:rRNA from 1 species